GUAGGGGGCAAGCGUUGUCCGGAUUUAUUGGGCGUAAAGAGCGUGUAGGCGGCCGUGUAGGUCUGACGUGAAAUCUGGAGGCUCAACCUCCAGCUGUCGUUGGAAACCGCUCGGCUAGAGUCCGGAAGAGGAGAGUGGAAUUCCUGGUGUAGCGGUGAAAUGCGCAGAUAUCAGGAAGAACACCUAUGGCGAAGGCAGCUCUCUGGGACGGUACUGACGCUGAGACGCGAAAGCGUGGGGAGCGAACAGGAUUAGAUACCCUGGUAGUCCACGCCGUAAACGAUGGGUGCUAGGUGUGGGCGGUGUCGACUCCGUCCGUGCCGAAGCUAACGCAUUAAGCACCCCGCCUGGGGAGUACGGCCGCAAGGCUA
rnacentral:rRNA from 1 species